GCCAUGCCCAUGAGCGGUGAGCCGGCUUCCGUGAGGACCACCCGCCCCAGCCCUCCAUAACCACUGCAGCCCGCCAUCGUGCUCCCCUGCGCAACCAAAAUUACCAGACAAAAUUCCUCAUCGCCGCCGGCGCCGCUCCCUUCGCCCUUAUUCGUCUGCUAUCAUGUCUGACAUGUCUUCCUGCUCACUCUCUCACUAUCCCAACAGACUUCACGACACAAAGAUUGGAGACAAGGCGGGUCGUCGUUUCUAAGAGUGUAGACAAUACAAUGUCCGCCUGCGCCGUUUCUUUGAUUUCUAGAGGGCGUAUGUUAAGAGGCCAACUCUGCUUCAGCUUGCCUGUGCUCAGCAGCAAGCCGGCGUUCGUCCAUGCUGCCAACCUACCCAUGUGCAGCUAGGAGAUGGCGGAGGGCAAAUAGUUACCCCUCCAAUAUACGUGCAUAUCCUGUCUUUGCCACCGAUGCAGAACGAGCUGGUCAAUCAUGUCUUGAAGCCGGUUGCUGAAGUUGCAGUUGCCCACAAUAGUAGUACACUGUUUCAUACUGUAUAUCCAUUACAGUACCUUUUUCCCGGUCCUGUUUGGAUGCAUGGAUUAGAGUUAGUUUGAAUUAGUUUGUACUGAACUAACAUCAAAACAUCCAAACAUAAUUAUUACAUUUGAUUAGAUACAUCCAACUCACCUAAAAGAA